rnacentral:lncRNA from 1 species
CAGAGCGCAGCUCUAUACGACCGCAGAGGUCGAACCCUGAACAGUUGGGGCAAGUAUGGACACAACAUUCAAGCUGGAUACAGCUCUGAAUUUGGAUUGUGAUUAAAUAGUUGACACAGCAUAGGUUUCUGACACAGAAUGAAUGUUGUCUAAUGAACUUAAAUUUUUUUUUUGCUUUUGAGCAAUUGACUAUGCUGUUGAAUGUUAAU